UACGUAGGCAGCAAGCGUUGUUCGGAGUUACUGGGCGUAAAGGGCGCGUAGGCGGCCCUGUAAGUAUGGUGUGAAAUCUCCCGGCUUAACUGGGAGGGUGCGCUAUAGACUGCGGGGCUCGAGUGUGGGAGAGGAAAGUGGAAUUCCUGGUGUAGCGGUGAAAUGCGUAGAUAUCAGGAGGAACACCGGUGGUGUAAACGGCUUUCUGGACCAUAACUGACGCUGAGGCACGAAAGCGUGGGUAGCAAACAGG
rnacentral:rRNA from 1 species